rnacentral:lncRNA from 1 species
AUGGUCGGUAUGGAGCAGUUCGAUCUACUGGUUCAGCAGGUCAGAGGCCUCACCGAAGUAGUGUAGGCCAUGCAACAGCAGCAACAACAGCCGCAGGCGUUAGUGCAGCUGGAAAGAGCAUCGUCGGAGUUCUAAAAUCUGGCAGUAGGAUGGGCCACUUGGGCCAGUCGCCCUAUCUUCUCCAAAAAGGAGAAUCUGAGGGUGGAGAGCCCUCAGUCUGAUCACGAUUCCACUCCCAGAGGAUCCCUAUCUUCAUUCUGCCAAA